CCGGCAUUGUGCAUCUUCCCUUUGCCCUCCUGGGCAGGGGAGCUAUUGGGUGUGGGUUUAGCCCUCUUCUCACUGGGGUAGGGAUUGUAGAUCAUUUUGUGAUGCUUUGGUUUAACAGGUCCUUGGGUAUACAAUGAGAGGGCUUUUUCAGAGGUGACCUGUUUUUUGAGGUUUACUUGUUAUUUAGUUGUUCUUGGUUGAUAUGAGCUUGCUCCGUCUUUGUCCUCUACUAUGAUCGGUUUUCUACACUGCUGGAAGGUUUCUUGUCCUCUGCUCUUAUAUGUGCUGUUUGAUGUAUCCGCGAGAGCAUUUGAAGGUUCAUCUAUGGCUUGUCUACCUAGAGCUUUUAUAGCUUCUAUUGUUGGGUUUGCGGGGCUGUUGUUUUGAGUGGAGAGAGAUCUCUGCAUUGGUUGCCCUGUUUCGACAGCCUUAAAGGACUGGAGACGAAGACUGAAUGAGCAGUUCCAUACGGACUUCGAUUAGGAAGGGCCAUGCAUGGUGACCUUUAGUUUUGCGCUUAUGAUCGCUUGUUAUCGUCUCUGGCGACGAAGGCUCGUUUGGCAUGGUGAGCGGCGCUGUAAAGUUUCACAUCUUUCACUUACCGGGUCAAGGGGACUUACGGGUUGAAUGCCAGUCUAGUGUUCUAGGCCAUGGGCCUUUGCUCUAGUUGGGUUAGGGAGGUGGUUCUGUGAGGAUGGAUCUUUGUUUUAAUUGGGAUUAAAGCCCUAUACUCAAUUCAGU
rnacentral:misc_RNA from 1 species